AUCCAGAUAACGAGUACUAAACAGAACGAAACACGCGUCCUGGAU
rfam:Schistosoma rodhaini strain Burundi genome assembly, scaffold: SROB_scaffold0013221